GAUGAACGCUGGCGGCGUGCCUAAUACAUGCAAGUCGAGCGAACGGACGAGAAGCUUGCUUCUCUGAUGUUAGCGGCGGACGGGUGAGUAACACGUGGAUAACCUACCUAUAAGACUGGGAUAACUUCGGGAAACCGGAGCUAAUACCGGAUAAUAUUUUGAACCGCAUGGUUCAAAAGUGAAAGACGGCCUUGCUGUCACUUAUAGAUGGACCCGCGCUGCAUUAGCUAGUUGGUAAGGUAACGGCUUACCAAGGCAACGAUGCAUAGCCGACCUGAGAGGGUGAUGGGCCACACUGGGACUGACACACGGUCCAGACUCCUACGGGAGGCAGCAGUAGGGAAUCUUCCACAAUGGGCGAAAGCCUGACGGAGCAACGCCGCGUGAGUGAUGAAGGUCUUCGGGUCGUAAAACUCUGUUAUUAGGGAAGAACAUAUGUGUAAGUAACUGUGCACAUCUUGACGGUACCUAAUCAGAAAGCCACGGCUAACUACGUG
rnacentral:rRNA from 1 species